GUCGUGCGUACGAAACAGGCACUUGGGAAGUUGUUCUAAAAAAAGUUUCCCAACUCGAUAGCUUUCCGGUGUGUUUUUGUUGCCGUGCGGGUGAAGUUUCCUUAGUGUUCUUUUUUUUUUUUUUUCCUCUGUGGAGAGAUGAGGGCCAGGACACCAAGUCAGUCAGGGUAAUUAUUUUAGUUCAAUCAAAACAAACGAUUCCUCCCCAUACUUCAGUAUCUCCUUUCAUCUGAAACCUCACGCUUCUGGGAACUCAUGCCCAAAAAGAUGCCCUCCAGAUUCAUUUAUCAUCCAACGCUCUUAAAGAAGGCCAGGAUCCUACAGAGAGAGGCAAAAAGGAAAAUGUUUUUCUGGGCUCCCAGAUGGUGACAGUGGCCCCUAAAAGGUAGAAGUAGGCCGCCCAGACAUGGAAGAAGAGGCCAGGCCUUGAGGGCCAACACCCUCCCGCUGAGCAGCCCCAGGCAGUUUUAGAUGGAACCUCAGCCUUUUGUUUGCUUCCCGGACCCUCCCGGACUGCAGCCUCUCCAAUUCCCUACACCCUGCCAAGGAGGAAGUGCGUGGGCAGCCAGUGUGUGGCAGGUGAUGUAAUUACAGCCCUGGGUUUGCUGAUCUAGGAGGUUAGAGGUUUUCAUGCUCCUGACAACUAAUGGUGGGACGGCUGGAUGAAAAAUGUCCUGCUGUUAAAAUCAGUUUAGAAAAGUUUCUCCCUUUGCAGAACCACCACUUGCUUUUUCUAUCAUCUUUUUUUUUUUUCAAGCUGAUUCUAGAGGUUUGUGGUUUUUUUAUGGUUUUAUUAUUGGUAUAAAUUAAAAGGUAGGCCAGGCAGUGGUGGCUCACACCUUUAAUCCCAGCAUUUGUGAGGCAGAGGCAGGCGGAUUUCUUGAGAUCGAGGCCAGCUUGGUCUACAGAGUGAGUUCCAGGGCAGCCAGGGCUAUACAGAGAAACCCUCUCUCGAAAAACCAACCAAACAAAAUCUCAGCACUAGACUGGAGUCAGGAGAAGGAUCAAGAUUACCCUCAGCUACAUAACCAGUUUGAGGCCAGCAUGGGUGACAUGAGGUCCUGUUUCAAAAAACACUCUCACCCAAGCCCCCCAACCCCCUCCAAAUAUUGGUAUAAAUAGAGAAAGCAAAGAACUGAUCAGCCAGCCUGUGUGCACACCACAGAGAGAGAACACAUUGUCACAUGCUGAAUGUGAGAUCAAGUUUGACAAAUUCUUCUGAAAUACAAUUUGGAAAUUGUGUUUUCUUUUUGAGACCAGGUCCCCUGAAGGCCAGGCUGACCUUGAACUCCUGAUUUCACCUCCAGCUCUUGCUGAAGUUGCAGGAAAGUGAGUCACCAUGCCCAGCCAAAACGUGAGGAAAAAAAAAAGAUUUAAAGAUUGAUAUUUAAUUAUGUGCGUUGUGCAGUCUGUGUGUACUUUUACACAAGUGAAGCAAAUGCCCCUGGAGGCCCGAGCUGUGAGCUGCCUGGUGUAGGUGCUGGGAAUCAAACUCUGGUCCUCUGUGAGCAGGCACUGAGCCAUCUCCUCAGACCCUCAAUGUGGACACUUUUUGUUUUUUUUAUGGUUUUUUUAGUUUUAUUUAUUAUAUCUAAGUACACUGUAACUGUCUUCAGAUGCACCGGAAGAGGGCAUCAGAUGGUUAUGAGCCACCAUGUGGUUGCUGGGAUUUGAACUCAUGACCUGUAGAAGAGCAGUCAGUGCUCUUAGCCACUGAACCAUCUCUCCAGCCCCAUGUUUUUUGUUGUGUUUGAGACAGGUUAAACAGCACUGCCUGUCCUGGAAUUCACAGAGAUCUGCCUAUCUCUGCCUCCCAGCUGCUGGGAUUAACUUCAUGUGAACAUUUUUGAAUGCACAACUCCACAUCUAGGAAUUUUUGCUUUCAGUACAUAUAUGCAAAAGUUAUAUGUGUGAAAAGUAUUUAACACGUGGCACCUGGAGACACAGCUUAAUUGGUAGAGUGUUUAACUAGCAUGCAGGAAGUUUGGGACUUGAUCUCAAAUACACAGUACUCCAGGUAUGGUGGCACAUGCCUGUACUUCUAGCAUUUGUGUGGCAGAAAACUGGAGAAUCAGAAAUAGGAGGUCAUUCUUGGCUAUGCAACAAAUUUGAUGAAAGCCUAGGAUACAUGCAACAUUGUCUCAGAGAGAGACUGUAUAGUCAUCAUAAGCCUGCUGCUCCAUGCACAUCUUCCCCCUGUGUUUUAAUUAUAAUUUGUCCUUACCUAUACUAUAGUAUGCCUGCAGACUCUCAGUCCUACUGACCUUCUAACCAGAAAGGUGUCCUGCUCCUUAGAGGUGAGAUUUUUACAUUAUUUUUCCAUUAUC
rnacentral:lncRNA from 1 species